AAACUAAGCUUCAUCGUCAAAUGGGAAACAGCCUAAACCGUUAAAUUAAGGCCCCAAAGUGUACUAGGCUUAGUGGUAAAGGAGGUUCGCGUACUAAUACAGGUGGAAGGUUUGACUAGAGGCAACAAUCCUUAAACGAGUGCGUAGUAGCCCACCUCUAUAUCCAAAUUUUGUGUGUAAUCGAGCGCCAAAAAUUAUCGGGACUAAGUCUUCCGCCGAAAUAGCGAGAUGGUA
rnacentral:rRNA from 10 species